rnacentral:lncRNA from 1 species
CAGAGGGGCCAAGAAGCACCCCUGGGAGGCCCCGAGUGUCAGCAAGAAAGUCCGUGUUUCAGGGAGAGAAUCGUGAAGAAACAGACUAAAGGACUUUGAUGCAAGCUACAGUCAUGAAGAAGGACACGUGGCUCUGCACCAGUCCCCGGCGCUGCCUGCGGCAUCUGAUUCUGCCGGCGCUGUCCGCUUAGCUUAUGGGUACGCAGAAGAUCUGCAUCAUGGUUCCUGCUGAAGAAGGGAGUAUGUGGCUGUGUGUGUGUGGC